UUAAGGACAAAUCGAGAGUCGCCUUUACAACGAGGAGAGAGAGAGAGAGAGAGACGAAAGAUCCUUGGUUCAUACGGCUGGUAUUCGAAAACGCAUUACUUUCAUUUCCAAUGAGCGGCCAUUCAAGGGCUCACGUGGCUUCUUAUGGUUAUACAUGAUCCACGUGUACGUCCUUCUUCAUGUUCUUUCGUGAUGUCUCACCUUGCUAUCAUGUUGCACAAAAAAAAGACAAGAUCUCGACCGGAAUACUUGAGUCACGUGUACACGAUUUGCGGUUCAAACAACCGUCAAACGACGCGAAAUGAGAGAAGGAAGUCGUAUCAAAGAUUUUUCCCUUCAUUCGACCAUGAAUAAACUAAUAAAAAUGAUAAAUAAAAUCUAGAUUCUCUCUAUAAAUAAAAUAAUAAUCUCCGAUCUAUACUGGAAUAGAAUUUCCUAUCCUGCUUAUCUGCUUAAGAGAGAUUAGCUCGCUCAAUUAAAUUUAACAGAAAUUUUGAAGUAUUUUAUAAUGUGAUCUCUUUCUCGUUUAAGAAUCUUAAAUGAUUAUACUUUUUGAUUACUAUUCUCGGUUUCAUGGAUUCUGUAGUCCUUGAAUCAAUAAAGGCUCGUUUAGCUUUAUCCUCUAAACUCGCAGAAUCUAGCCACUGAUUCGCAAUCUCUUAAUCAACUUCUUCUUACUCGUAUUUCAACAAUCUUAUUCCAUUCGUUCGCAGAUUUAUACGAUGAAUUCAAAUCACACUUGCGGAUCGCAAUCGCGCGACGUAGCCAUUCGUGCGUCUCUACGUCUCGGAUCGGAACAACUUUCUCAUUGUGAUAACUGUAUAACUCGGCUCGUGGCUCAGCGAGUAAUUUGCAAUGAAAUAACGGAGAACUGGUAGCGCAGGUGAUAGUCGGCGAGCCGCGGCUUUCGAACACACACGUGUGCGAACGGGCGACGACGGGCAAUCACCGAUCAAUUUGCUCUUUUGCCAUCGAUACACCCGGUAUCUCGGUACGGAUUAUUAAAUUCCGCUUUUCCUUCGGAUAUUUCCUUCGCGAACAUACACCGAUAACGCCGUUGGAUUGCAGAGCAUAUCGCAUAUUCGUAGCAAACUAUGGAUUAUUCAACGAAUUUUUUAUACAACUAUCGAGCGCGUGUUCUCCCAUGUAUGUACGAUGACGACGACGGUCAUUAUUCACCGGACGACGGCGACGUCACCGUCGCUUCCAAGUAGUCGAUCGCACCGAACGAUUCGAUGUAGAAACAAAUUAAAUUAUACUCUAUUAUGCCGAAUCGAUCUUCGCGCGGGGCGUUAGCCUCAUGAAUCCGGAGCUCUGACGAACCUCUGUCAACCACCAACCCUGCGUUUCAUCCAUGCCACAGGUCGAUACACAGGGAAACGCACCGUCGAGAGCUAUGACUCAUCCGCGAUGCGACCUUCUCCAAAAAAGUGCGUUAGCAAAAGAAGACUAGAAUCGAACAAUACAUCGCGGAAUCAAGUUAUGGAAACGUUCUGCUACGGUCACGUUUCUAGCAGUAAUAAAUUGUGGGGAGAGGAAGGAGGAAAGGUUUAUGGAGACGAUCGAUAAGAACAGCGUGCUCUGGAGCCAAAGCGAAUAAGAGGCUACAUCGUAAAAAUAAUUUAAAAACUAAGAAUCACAUGAAGUAAACUACUAUGGACUCGAACAAGUGUGCAUUAUGAGUCACGGAAUAGCGUCGGGGGUAGCUCUCACACCCUCCACCCUAUUGAUCUUACAUUUCUGUAUAUUGUACGCAACUCGAAAGGGAUAGACAGAGCAAAAAAUAAAAGAGAAAAUAAAGAACGAGAUAAUUAAUCGAAAGAUAAAAUAUCAAAGAAAGAAAAAAGAAAUAAAGAGGAGGUAGACUAAAAUAUAAUAAAAAUAUAGAAAUAAAAUCGUGAGAGAAAUGCGGAUAUUUUGAGAAUAUUGAAAAGCAAGUAAUUAACUUUCUUCAAUAAAAAAUUUCAAUUUUUAAUUUAUUCAAUUAUCUAUUUUUUAAUGUCAAAAUUUGAAUUCUUAUGAAAAUUAAUUAUUUUAUAACUGCAACAAUUCAUCAAAAAAAUUAUUGAAUUUUUCCAUGUAAAUCUAGUACUUGAGUUUAAAAAGAAAAUUCUCGGCACUACUUUUCUAUCACUUUUUUCAUUUUUAUAUGUCAUCAAACAAGAUAGAUGUCAAACUAAUAGCUUUUAAAAGUUAUAUUAAAAAAAUUCGAUAAUUAUAUGAAGUUAUCUUCAUUAUCUCAAUAAAAUGCUGCUAAAUAUCCGUUGCAUUAUUAAAAAAUUUAGCAAACAUUAUAACCUGAUUUUUUGAUUUCAUGAAAAAUUUAG